UACGAAGGGGGCUAGCGUUGCUCGGAAUCACUGGGCGUAAAGCGCACGUAGGCGGACUCUUAAGUCAGGGGUGAAAUCCUGGAGCUCAACUCCAGAACUGCCUUUGAUACUGAAAAUCUUGAGUCCGGGAGAGGUGAGUGGAACUGCGAGUGUAGAGGUGAAAUUCGUAGAUAUUCGCAAGAACACCAGUGGCGAAGGCGGCUCACUGGCCCGGUACUGACGCUGAGGCACGAAAGCGUGGGGAGCAAACAGG
rnacentral:rRNA from 1 species